GCUCCCGCUCCCGCUCCCUCUCCAGCUCCCCCUCCCGCUCCCUCUCCACCUCCCGCUCCCGCUCCCCCUCCCUCUCCCGAUUUCCACAGUCUCCCUCUGUUGCCAAGGCUGGACUGUACUGCCGUGAUCUCGGCUGGCUGCAACCUCCCUGCCUGAUUCUCCUGCCUCAGCCUGCCGAGUGCCUGGGAUUGCAGGCGUGCGCCGCCACGCCUGACUGGUUUUUGUAUUUUUGGUGGAGAGGGGGUUUCGCCCUGUUGGCCAGGCUGGUCUCCAGCUACUGACCUCCAGUGAUCUGCCCGCCUCGGCCUCCCGAGGUGCCGGGAUUGCAGACGGAGUCUUGCUCACUCAGUGCUCAAUGUUGCCCAGGCUGGAGUGCAGUGGCGUGAUCUCGGCUGGCUACAGCCUCCACCUCCCAGCAGCCUGCCUUGGCCUCCCAAAGUGCUGAGAUCUCGCAGCCUCUGCCUGGCCGCCACCCCGUCUAGGAAGUGAGGAGCGUCUCUGCCUGGCCGCCCAUUGUCUGGGAUGUGAGGAGCCCCUCCGCCCGGCUGCCUCAUCUGGGAUGUGAGGAGCGCCUCUGCCCGGCAGCCCCGUCUGGGAGGUGAGGAGCAGCUCUACCCGGCCACCACCCCGCCUGGGAAGUGAGGAGCGCCUCUGCCCGGCCAACACCCCGUCUGGGAUGUGAGGAGCGUCUCUGCCCAGCUGCCCCGACUGGGAAGAGAGGAGUGCCUCUGCCCGGCCACCCCGCCUGGGAGGUGAGGAGUGCCUCUGCCCGGCAGCCACCCCAUCUGGGAAGUGGGGAGCCCCUCUGCCCGGCCGCCCCGUAUGGAAAGUGAGAAGUGCCUUUGCCCGACCGCGACCCGGUCUGGGAACUGAGGAGUGCCUCGGCCCGGCAGCCGCCACGUCUGGGAGGUGUACCCAACAGCUCAUUGAGAACGGGCCAUGAUGAUGAUGGCGGUUUUGUCAAAUAGAAAAGGGGGAGAUGUGGGGAAAAGAAAGAGAGAUCAGAUUGUUACUGUGUCUGUGUAGAAAGAAGUAGACAUAGGAGACUCCAUUUUGUUCUGUACUAAGAAAAAUUCUUCUGCCUUGGGAUGCUGUUAAUCUAUAACCUUACCCCCAACCCCGUGCUCUCUGAAACAUGUGCUGUGUCAACUCAGGGUUAAAUGGAUUAAGGGCGGUGCAAGAUGUGCUUUGUUAAACAGAUGCUUGAAGGCAGCAUGCUCCUUAAGAGUCAUCACCACUCCCUAAUCUCAAGUACCCAGGGACACAAACACUGCGGAAGGCGGCAGGGUCCUCUGCCUAGGAAAACCAGAGACCUUUGUUUGCGUGUUUAUCUGCUGACCUUCUCUCCAUUAUUGUCCUAUGACCCUGCCAAAUCCCCCUCUCCGAGAAACACCCAAGAAUGAUCAAUAAAUACUAAAAAAAAAAAAUUACAAUCAAUCUCUCACCUGGAGAAUUCCCUCAGUGAUUAUGAGUUCAUCCAGUUGCCAUCUGUUGGAAAUCUUGACCAGUGAAAGGAUAGCUUGAAAUCACACACAAAGUGUGACUGAACAAAAGUGCUAGGUCAGAGUCUGGAAAGUUAAGUAAAAGAUAACUCCCUGAGGAAGGUGGUUCUGAGUAGAGCAGAUUCUAGAAUUAUCAUAUGAGUACUGUUCUUUAGAAAGGAGGAUGGCUUGCCUGUCCAUGAGGCUUGUAUGUACAAUUCUGGAAGUUCUGUGGUCAAAAGGAGCCUUCUGGCUAUUGACCUGAGAAUUUAGGAUUAUGAAGUCAGGUUUAGUUAUACUUAGAGGGUAGAACUAAAAUAUGUUGUUCAGGAAUAUAUGUACAUCUUUAAUAAUCAUGUUUUUAUCACAACUGAGGAAGAAGUGUAUUAUCUUAGUUCUGUAUAAAUUACCUUGAAGAUAGUAGCAUGUUGUUGGAACACAGAAAUUUCUGCAAUAAAAUCUCAAAAAGGCAUUUUACUUUCUCAGCUCAGAUUUUGACCUGAAUAUACAAACUUGUAAGAAUUGUUGUCACUCUAUUUGCUGAUAAGAGCAUGUAGAAUCUUGAAGGUGAAGGUAAAAUGACUUGAAGAUGAGACUGUUGCCCCAAAUAAUUAGAGAGAGCAGAUAAAAUAAAAUAAGUGGCCAUCAAAAUAGCUAUAUUUUAGAGAAAUUGUGAAAUCUACAUGACACUACAAAGAAUUGUACCAUCUGCAGUUAAUUAUGUCAAGCAGAUACAGCUAUAAAUUGUUAUCCACGUUUUUGAAGAGAACUUGUGUUCUUGCUUGUCUCACUGAUGAAUAAUUUGCCUUGACCUUAUUGCUUGACUUGUGGCUGCCCACCAGUUACACACCCAUUGCUUCUUCUGAUUUCUGGCCUCUCCAGUGGUGAGCUUCCUCUCUGGGGCUCACACGCCUUUCUUGGCCUUGGCCUUGGAUCUCCAGGUUCUAGCUUUUGGUGCUAAUGUCUCCACAUCACAUUCCACACCUCUGCAAACAGCACGGUGACUUAUGGCUUAUGGAGAACCACCUUCACGUCCAAGCCAUCAAAUGAACCAUGGCUUAAUUCAUGUCUUACCUGUAAGAUUUGGACUUUCUUUGGAAUAGGAAGAAACUUUUGCUUAAGGACAAUGGAAACAGCAUUGCCUCCCUCUCUCCCUGCUACACAUGAUACUGGGGUGCAGUAUCCAGAUCUAUUGAGAUUCUUGCCACAAGGCAAGGCAGCCAGAGGGAAGGAACAUUUCUUCCUCUGAAUUCAGAGCACACAAGCUUUAAUUCUGCUGGAGAUUGGUAGGCCAAAAAGGAAAUUCUUGAUAAAAAUUACAGCCUGAUCUCAGUUGUGCAACAGGAAUUUUGAAGAGCAGCCACCCUCCCUGAAGCCAUCUAGGGAACACCAGCAGAAUCACACUGGAGGACUGGUGUCCACAGAAGGCCACAAGCUUGUGAAGGUCAACUCAGCUGUGGCAGCUGAGCAACUGUCGGGCAAGUCUGCUGGAAUCUGAAAACCCAGAGACAUUUGUCCUGGGGGAUAUAUGGUAUGGUUCCCUUGGGUUCUCAGAAAUGACUGAGAUGACAUUUUGAGAGAAGCUAAGUUUUGGAAAUUAGGCCAGAGACUUAUGCCAAAAUUGUGGAUAAAGAGGAAGUUCCUGUUUGGGUUGUAGUGACAGGCUGUUGAGACUGGUGAAGUAAGCAUCACACUCAAUUUACCCCACACUAUGAGGAGCAAAAGAGUUCUUAAAAAGACAGAGAGGCAUAGCCUCAUCAUCAGAGCUCUUUAGGGAAACUGGGGAUUACCUCUAUAUGUCAGAUUUUCAAAUUAGCGUUGCACACCAGAGACCUCUUCAGGUGAGGUGAACUUGUAAAAAUACCUGAGAAUGGUUGUGAAACUGUAGUGUGCUGCUGCUGUGACUUCUGUUUUAUUUUUUUCAUUUCAUUUACUUUUCUAUAUACGAGUGUGUGUGUUUGUGCACACACACAGAGUAUAUAUAAGACAUAGAUACUUAUAGUACAUAGAAAUGUAUUUGUAUAAAUACAUGUAUGAUGUUGAAAGUUUGAGAUUCUUUGUUUUUUGAUAAAAACUAGUUAAAAUUGUUAUUAAGAUCUGAAAAUUAAUUCAGUCAGUUUUAAGAGACAUAGAAAUUCAGAGCAGCAAUCCCUGUUUGGUAAAUGCUUCUGUGGGGGACAACAUUCUCCACUAAGGUAAUUUUGAGCCACAAUCUUAAAUCAAACCACGAAAGAUAGAAAUUAUUUCCUUGGAAUAAGCUGUGAACAGUAUUACCUAAGGCUUUGGAUAAUUUCAAAUGAAAUGCUGAAUUUAGUAUAUUGAAUGACACAGCAUCUUUAUUUUAAAAUGGAACAAGUCAAUAAGGUAUUUACAGGAACACACAGCUUGAAUAAUAAAAUGUGUGUGAAUAGAUCUUAAUAAUUCAUUCCAUGUGCUGAUGCAAUUUGAUACAAACUCAAGCGUUUUAAUAAGAACUGUAAGCUGUUUUUUGAAAUUAUGUAUUGGAUUAGAGAGAGAGAGAGAACAGACCAAUUAAGCAACGAAAAAGAAGCGGGGAAUUGCUAAUGCUGAAUGAGUAGGAGCCAUCUGGAACUAUAAAGCGUCCCCAACAACCUACAGCUUCCCACACAGAUCGUAACCUCCUCCUCCGAUACCCGCCCCCACUACUUUGUGUAGGAGUUUAUCUUUUCCAGCUAUCACUAUGGGUAGGGUAAAAACUACUUUUAUAAAAAUUACCUUCAUGGUUACUGAAAGCUGAAGAGGAAUACUUCACUAACCAUGGGUCAUGACUCAUAGCGUAAAUACUUAUCUAGUAAGCAUUUAUAAUAUUUCUUUGGUGCUAAUUUUCUCAUUGAAUAAAGUUUGCUUUCAUUUUGUUUCAUCCACAUCAUAGCGGCACUUUCUGGCUGAGCUGCUUAACCCUCUGAAUUCAACUAUUUGCAGAGGCAUAAAGAAUUUUGAUGACUAUUUCAUUAUGCUUCCUCUAAAAAUAUGUUUUAAAGUCUCUAAAGAUUGUUGACUGUGUGCAAAACACUCUAAAGCUUGUUUCAAAGUAACAUAAAGCAUUUAGAUGAGAAAAGGGAAUAUACACAAUCCACUUCAGCUACACAUAAACUGGUUCAUGUGUUAAGGACAGUUCUAGAACUUUGGAAACUUGGAUAAGGACGCUCCUUCUGAGUAUAGUUCUCAUAGCACAAUCCCAAAGACACUGGAACCAACUUCAACUCCCACUGAGCUUAGAACCUACCCUUUACAUUACCCUAGAAAAACAAACACACUCUUUUAUGUAACCCCUCUCCCCAUUCUCCCCCUUCUUUUACAAAUUAUAUGCUAAAAUGCUCCCAACGUACUUAUAAAUAGAUCCAAUAAGACAUCAAUUUCUACACCUUCCAAGAGGGAGGGGAAACAAUCACAGGAAAUGAGGUGAAAACAAAUACUAUUGGCCGGGCGCAGUGGCUCACGCCUGUAAUCCCAGCACUUUGGGAGGCCGAGGCGGACAGAUCACGAGGUCAGGAGAUCGAGACCAUCCUGGCUAACACGGUGAAACCCCAUCUCUACUAAAAAUACAAAAAAAAUUAGCCAGGCGUGGUUGCAGGCGCCUGUAGUCCCGGCUACUCGGGAGGCUGAGGCAGGAGAAUGACAUGAACCCGGGAGGCGGAGCUUGUAGUGAGCCGAUAUUGUGCCACUGCACUUCAGCCGGGGCGACAGAGCGAGACGAGACUCUGCCUCAAAAGAAAACAAAAUAAAAACAAAAACAAACAAACAAAAAACAAACCAAAUGUUAUUAACCAAAUUACUAAAAUAAAGGAAACUUGAACACUAAAGAAUAAAUAAUUUUCACAAGAACAUUCUAAAGCAAAUUGUAGUAUCACUUUAUUUUCAUUAUUGUAGUAACAUUUCUUCAAUGACUUGGUAUCAAUAAAUUGUAUACAAAUAAAAGUCCUGUGUUGGCUUAAUAUUUCAUUUUUCAGCUUUUGUGUUAGGGUCUAUAAACAAGUUUAUUGGUACCUGUGUUUACAGAUGCACCAUAUUUAAAUGUAGUAUAAAGUCUGAUAUAUAUGAGAAUACGAUGGGAUAUGU
rnacentral:lncRNA from 10 species